rnacentral:misc_RNA from 1 species
UACGUAGGGGGCGAGCGUUGUCCGGAAUUAUUGGGCGUAAAGAGCUCGUAGGCGGUCCGCUAAGUUAGAUGUGAAAUCUCAGGGCUCAACCCUGAAAUUGCAUCUGAUACUGGCGGACUUGAGGCAGGUAGGGGAAGGUGGAAUUCCUGGUGUAGCGGUGAAAUGCGCAGAUAUCAGGAGGAACACCGGUGGCGAAGGCGGCCUCCUGGGCCUGUUCUGACGCUGAGGAGCGAAAGCGUGGGGAGCGAACAGG